rnacentral:rRNA from 1 species
CCUACGGGUUGCACCAGUGGGGAAUAUUGCACAAUGGGCGCAAGCCUGAUGCAGCCAUGCCGCGUGUAUGAAGAAGGCCUUCGGGUUGUAAAGUACUUUCAGUCGUGAAGAAGGUAGUGUAGUUAAUAGCUGCAUUACUUGACGUUAGCGACAGAAGAAGCACCGGCUAACUCCGUGCCAGCAGCCGCGGUAAUACGGAGGGUGCGAGCGUCAAUCGGAAUUACUGGGCGUAAAGCGCAUGCAGGUGGUUUGUUAAGUCAGAUGUGAAAGCCCGGGGCUCAACCUCGGAAUAGCAUUUGAGACUGGCAGACUAGAGUACUGUAGAGGGGGGUAGAAUUUCAGGUGUAGCGGUGAAAUGCGUAGAGAUCUGAAGGAAUACCGGUGGCGAAGGCGGCCCCCUGGACAGAUACUGACACUCAGAUGCGAAAGCGUGGGGAGCAAACAGGAUUAGAUACCCCCGUAGUC